GACCUCGGAUCAGGCAGGGAUACCCGCUGAACUUAAGCA
rnacentral:rRNA from 1 species